rnacentral:rRNA from 1 species
AGAGUUUGAUCCUGGCUCAGAUUGAACGCUGGCGGCAUGCUUUACACAUGCAAGUCGAACGGCAGCGGGGGCUUCGGCCUGCCGGCGAGUGGCGAACGGGUGAGUAAUGCAUCGGAACGUGCCCAUGUCGUGGGGGAUAACGUAUCGAAAGGUACGCUAAUACCGCAUACGUCCUGAGGGAGAAAGCGGGGGAUCGCAAGACCUCGCGCGAUUGGAGCGGCCGAUGUCGGAUUAGCUAGUAGGUGAGGUAAAGGCUCACCUAGGCGACGAUCCGUAGCGGGUCUGAGAGGAUGAUCCGCCACACUGGGACUGAGACACGGCCCAGACUCCUACGGGAGGCAGCAGUGGGGAAUUUUGGACAAUGGGCGCAAGCCUGAUCCAGCCAUGCCGCGUGAGCGAAGAAGGCCUUCGGGUUGUAAAGCUCUUUCGGCCGGGAAGAAAUCGUGUUCUCUAACAUAGGACAUGGAUGACGGUACCGGACUAAGAAGCACCGGCUAACUACGUGCCAGCAGCCGCGGUAAUACGUAGGGUGCGAGCGUUAAUCGGAAUUACUGGGCGUAAAGCGUGCGCAGGCGGUUUUGUAAGACAGAUGUGAAAUCCCCGGGCUUAACCUGGGAACUGCGUUUGUGACUGCAAGGCUAGAGUACGGCAGANGGGGGGUGGAAUUCCUGGUGUAGCAGUGAAAUGCGUANAUAUCANGAGGAACACCGAUGGCGAAGGCAGCCCCCUGGGCCUGUACUGACGCUCAUGCACNAAAGCGUGGGGAGCAAACAGGAUUANAUACCCUGGUA